CAAAACUCAAAAACUUAGUCUCAGUUCGGAUUGUAAGCUGAAACUACGCCUACAUGAAGCUGGAGUUGCUAGUAAUCGCGAAUCAGCAUGUCGCGGUGAAUACGUUCCCGGGGCCUUGUACACACCGCCCGUCACACCAUGAGAGUUGGCAAUACCCAACGUACGUGAUCUAACCCGCAAGGGAGGAAGCGUCCUAAGGUAGGGUCAGCGAUUGGGGUGAAGUCGUAACAAGGUACC
rnacentral:rRNA from 1 species